rnacentral:rRNA from 1 species
UACGUAGGUGGCAAGCGUUGUCCGGAUUUAUUGGGUUUAAAGGGUGCGUAGGCGGUUCCAUAAGUCAGUGGUGAAAUACAAUAGCUUAACUAUUGAGGUGCCAUUGAUACUGCGGAACUUGAGUACAGACGAGGUAGGCGAAAUUGACGGUGUAGCGGUGAAAUGCUUAGAUAUCGUCAAGAACACCGAUAGCGAAGGCAGCUUACUAGACUGUAACUGACGCUGAGGCACGAAAGUGUGGGGAUCAAACAGG